AGAGUUUGAUCAUGGCUCAGAAUCAACGCUGGCGGCGUGCCUAACACAUGCAAGUCGAACGCGAAAGUGGAGCAAUCCAUGAGUAGAGUGGCAAACGGGUGAGUAACACGUGGGUGACCUGCCUUAGAGUGGGGGAUAACGUCCCGAAAGGGACGCUAAUACCGCAUAACAUGCUGCCUUUUAAGAGGUGGACAUCAAAGCCGGGGACCGCAAGGCCUGGCGCUUAAAGAGGGGCCCGCGCCUGAUUAGCUAGUUGGUGGGGUAAUGGCUCACCAAGGCAACGAUCAGUAUCCGGCCUGAGAGGGCGGACGGACACACUGGGACUGAGACACGGCCCAGACUCCUACGGGAGGCAGCAGUGGGGAAUUGUUCGCAAUGGGCGCAAGCCUGACGACGCAACGCCGCGUGGAGGAUGAAGAUCUUCGGGUUGUAAACUCCUUUCGAUCGAGACGAAUGGCCCUUGGGCUAACAUCCCGAGGGAGUGACGGUACCGAGAGAAGAAGCCCCGGCUAACCCCGUGCCAGCAGCCGCGGUAAUACGGGGGGGCAAGCGUUGUUCGGAAUUACUGGGCGUAAAGGGCUCGUAGGCGGCCAACUAAGUCGUACGUGAAAUCCCUCGGCUUAACCGGGGAACUGCGUAUGAUACUGGAUGGCUUGAGUUCGGGAGAGGGAUGCGGAAUUCCAGGUGUAGCGGUGAAAUG
rnacentral:rRNA from 1 species